rnacentral:rRNA from 1 species
CCUACGGGCGGCAGCAGUGAGGAAUAUUGGUCAAUGGACGAGAGUCUGAACCAGCCAAGUAGCGUGAAGGAUGACUGCCCUAUGGGUUGUAAACUUCUUUUAUAUGGGAAUAAAACAGGGUAUGCAUACCCUCUUGUAUGUACCAUAUGAAUAAGGAUCGGCUAACUCCGUGCCAGCAGCCGCGGUAAUACGGAGGAUCCGAGCGUUAUCCGGAUUUAUUGGGUUUAAAGGGUGCGUAGGCGGGCCUUCAGGCCGGCGGUAAAAUUGCGGGGCUCAACCCCGCCGAGCCGUCGGAACCGGGGGCCUUGAGUACCGGAGAAGUACGCGGAAUGCGUGGUGUAGCGGUGAAAUGCAUAGAUAUCACGCAGAACCCCGAUUGCGAAGGCAGCGUACCGGCCGGUCACUGACGCUGAGGCACGAAAGCGCGGGUAUCGAACAGGAUUAGAUACCCCUGUAGUC